UUUGUUUCGAACUGCAUCUGCAGUAUGGGUUCCAUGCAAGCAAGCAUAAGGCAGCUUACUUCGAGGUUAGCAUCACAUGCUUUCUUGUAAGCAUUCUUAACAGCAGCAGGUGCAUCAUCGGCAGGUUCUUCUGGUAAUAGGGUGUCUAGAACAUCUUCCUUUUUCUCAGCUCUGAGAACAAUUCUAAGAUUACGGGUCCAAUCCGAGUAGUUUGUUCCAUUCAACUUGUCCUUCUCA
rnacentral:lncRNA from 1 species